AUUGAACGCUGGCGGCAGGCCUAACACAUGCAAGUCGAGCGAGCGGCGGACGGGUGAGUAAUGUAUGGGGAUCUGCCCGAUAGCGGGGGAUAACUACUGUAAACGGUGGCUAAUACCGCAUACUAUCGGUUUAACCCCUAUGGGAUUAGCUAGGAGGUGGGGUAAAGGCUCACCUAGGCGACGAUCUCUAGCUGGUCUGAGAGGAUGAUCAGCAAAACUGGAACUGAGAAACGGUCCAGACUCCUACGGGAGGCAGCAGUGGGGAAUAUUGCACAAUGGGCGCAAGCCUAAUGCAGCCAUGCCGCGUGUAUGAAGAAGGCCUUAGGGGUGUAAAGUACUUUCAGCGGGGAGGCGUUACCCGCAGAAGAAGCACCGGCUAACGCCGUGCCAGCAGCCGCGGUAAUAC
rnacentral:rRNA from 1 species